GACAGAGGGUGCAAGCGUUGUUCGGAAUUACUGGGCGUAAAGGGCGCGUAGGCGGUCCGCUAAGUUCGGCGUGAAAUCCCCUGGCUCAACUGGGGGAACGGCGCUGGAUACUGGUGGACUCGAGUACCGGAGAGGAGAGUGGAAUUCCUGGUGUAGCGGUGAAAUGCGUAGAUAUCAGGAGGAACACCGGUGGCGAAGGCGGCUCUCUGGACGGAUACUGACGCUGAGGCGCGAAAGCGUGGGGAUCAAACAGG
rnacentral:rRNA from 1 species